AUUGAACGCUGGCGGCAGGCCUAACACAUGCAAGUCGAACGGAGCGGCGGAAGGGUGAGUAAUGCCUAGGAAUCUGCCUGGUUGUGGGGGGGAACGUCCGGAAACGGGCGCUAAUACCGCAUACUAUCAGAUGAGCCUCGGUGGGUUUAGCUAGUUGGUGGGGUAAAGGCCUACCAAGGCGACGAUCCGUAACUGGUCUGCGAGGAUGAUCAGUCACACUGGAACUGAGACACGGUCCAGACUCCUACGGGAGGCAGCAGUGGGGAAUAUUGGACAAUGGGCGAAAGCCUGAUCCAGCCAUGCCGCGUGUGGGAAGAAGGUCUUCGGAUUGUAAAGCACUUUAAGUUGGGAGGCGUUACCAACAGAAUAAGCACCGGCUAACUUCGUGCCAGCAGCCGCGGUAAUUC
rnacentral:rRNA from 1 species